rnacentral:lncRNA from 1 species
UGUAAAUUUCCUUUGCCUUGUCAGCAAUGAGACCUUCAAUCUGUCUGCUUUCUUUCCACCAUGUAGACACUGGAAAGAACUGAGCCACAGAGGCCACAGAGUCUUAAGAGCUUGCUCAGUUUUACUCUGGGAGGUACAAUUUGCUCAGAUAUGCCCUACAAGGCUCAUCCUGCACCUGGGAUAGCUUGGUGUGAUAACAGGGUUUGCCCCUUCUCGUGCCCCAAAGUGGUGGACAAGGUAUUUUGCUUUGACACAGAGCCACAGAGAUGACACACUGGCUUUGACUUGCCCUCUCCACAUAUUUAAAUCUGUCCCUACAUGGCUCACUGGACUUCUGGAGAACCAAUGUGACCUCCUGUGUGGGACUGGUGUUUGGGCUGAGUAACUCAACCCACUGGGACAGGGGGUCUAGAGGGUUUAGAAUUUAACACCAAGGAUGGUGGUGUGAAGCUCACCCUUUGUAUGGUGCAUUUAAGCUAAAUUCUUGAAAACAGGUGCUCUCUUCUACUGAGAAUAUAUUCAGUGUGUUUCAGGCUGCCUGGACAUGCUGAGCUAAUGCAGGAGGGUCAGAGUGUCUCAUCAUGCUUGGGAGGGAGGUGGUGUUGGUCUUCUUCAUCAUGAAUGUAUUGAUAUUGAUUGUUCUAUCUGUGCUCAGACUCAGAUCUCCCUCUUCUGUAGGAUCCUGCAUGUUGGCCUGGAUCCAUGGCUGAUCUUGCACUGCUGUGUUCUUUCAUCUGGGCUCAAGCUGAUGGUGUGAUCCUCCUGUAUCGUUCCUCCAAAACUCCUGAGAACUUCUCUUAUGAGGAGAAAAAGCAAUUUUGGCUCAGAGCAUUGCAGGCUGGGAUCUCUGGUCUCCUGAGAACUCUGAAGACCUGUUGGUAACAUUUGGUACGUAUCAGGGGGGAAAGAUUUGCAGGUGUAAACAAGAGUUAAUCUCAGAGAGCAAAGGGAGAUGAUUGCCUGCAGGGGCUGUAUCCAUGCAGUAACUCACCAGCUCAUGUCUCUUAAUAGCAAGGAAUGCAGGGUUUGCUUAUGUUUACAGGCAGAAAGAGUGGAGAGAACUCUUCUUUUUUUGGGUCCACAGACUAAAUGCCAUGUGUAGGUAUUUAGGCAGUGUGCUCAGGCACUCACCUGUGGAGAACAAAUGGAUAUCAGGUGGGGGUCCUGAAGUGAUGAUCAGCUGAGCUUCUGUCUCUACUCUGCUGCUGACCCUUUUAGAGUAUUUUAUUAAAUUUUGCCUGUGUUUCAAUUACCACCUUUGAAGCUAAGGUGAGGAAAAGCACUGAUCCAGGCACAGCUUUGUAGUGCACAGAUCUGCUUAGGGCAUCCAUGAAAGCACCUGGGCUGGCAGAUAAAGCAAAAGUUGAGAUGCUGGCUAGAAAUUUCUGCUGACUGUGAGGAAAAGGUAACUUCUGCCACAUGGACUUUUCAGGCUGUUGACCCAAGUUCUUUGCAACACCAUCUCUCUGGCUUUUCUGAAGCCAGGGCAAAUCUUCCUGAAUCUGAUCUUUUGACUUCCACGUUUGCUUCCAUUGUAGAGUUUUCCUAGGCAGCUGAGUAAGAGUCAGUCAGCCAGAGGAGCCACACCAGCUGCUCCAUACCACUAUGUCAAUGCAAAGCAAACCAGAAAAACUGGCUAAGCUGCUAAAGGAAAGUGUUUCCAUGGGCUGGGGAAUCCUCUGGUGGGGCAGUCAGUGCAGGACAAUUCCCUCUGCCAGCACGUGGACUGGAUUACAGAUGGGUAAGGAGCCAGUAAUGCCUUUAUCCUGAUGCAUGACAGGUGAACUUGUGUAGGUGCAGUUCAGAUGAUGACAGGAGUCUUUAGAGACUUUGGUGGUGGUCUGUGUAUUGACUGAGUCUGUAGCUCACCAGGUGAAGCCUAAAUGAAUUUGAUGCCCACAGGUUGAUUCUCCAGUGCUGCUCUGAUGCUGCUGUACUGACUGGCCUCUGCUGACUGCUUCUGUGGCUGAAGAAUAAUUUCUUAGCUGCAAUAAAGCACUCUUGUAGCUUUUACA